ensembl:lncRNA
CUUGUGUCGUUCACUCAUUAAUGGAUCUUCAACACAUGUAAAUCUACAUACAUAUAAAAAUAUAUAACGUACCUGAACUUCCAGAGGAGGCUGAUGAAGGUGUGGAGCUUCCUGAAGCUGAGCUUAAACUCUGUGUUGUUGGUGGUGUGGAGGCUGAUGAGAGAAACACUGAAGCUGAAAAAGGUCUCAGAGUCCCGUUUGGUGUUGAAGUGGUUGAAGCUGUGAACAAUGAAACCAUCAGAGUCAUAAUAAGACCACUUGAAGCAGUUUAUAUAUCUGCAUGUGACUGACGUGGUUAUGGGCUGUUUGACAGCAGAACUGAUGAAACUUGAUGUUUCAGAUAAAUAUAACAUCUGUAGGUGAUUUGAAAGAAAAGUAGCUGCCUUUGAGACGGGAAACUUCUGUCACACCUUCAAAGACAAACACGACUGUUAGCAGAAACUCACCUGCUGUGACAAUCAGCUCAAAAUCAUCGUUUCCAUCUGGCCUCCAGUCUCUGACCAAAGAGCACCUGUACCGUCCUGAGUCAGACUGGUUCAGCUGUGUGAUGCUCACAUACAUAAUAUCAGAUGAGGUAACACCUUUGUUUUCAUAUUUAAUGCUGUAUCUGCCGUUCUGAGCUGCAUCAUCAGAUGUUUCCACAAGAAUGUUUCCAUUUUCACAUUUUUCCUUACAGAACAGUUUCCUGCUUCCUGAGGAAUAAAAGCUGCAUUUAACUGUGAUGUUUCCUCCUUCCUCUGCUCUGUGGGUGAGAGUUUGUGCUUUGACCAAACCAGUGUUUCCAUCCUGAAGUGCUGCUGAAAGGAUGAACAAUCAUUAGUUACAAUCUUACUAUAGAUUAAAUGUGACAGGUGAUUAUUAAUUUUAACUGAUCACAGAAGUUCAGUUAACUUCAUUUUUCUGUUUUUAUUUGCAAACAGCAAACUUCCUGUUUUAUACACGAACACAAAGCAUCUGAUGUGGAAGAUUCAGAGUUUAAGGAACUUCUUACUUCUCUUAAUUAUGAGGUCACGCCUUCAAACCACACACACACACACACACACACACACACACACACACACACACACACACACACACACACACACAAAGGCUUUUGUUUUUACUGCAAUAAUGUUUCUUUAUUUAAAUUUUCCUGUUUCCUGUCAUAACUAAAAGAUUUUUGAUUUUCAGAGCUUCAUUCAGGCUCUUAAGAAACCGACUGCAUGAAGUUUACUAAAGUACAAUUAUAGGAUAUAAACUAGACUAUUCUAUAACUAGACUAGACUAGUUAUAUCAAAAUGCUGUCAGUCCUCAAUUUUCAUCAGAUCAAACAGAACAAUUUUUAGUAUUUCAUUUAUCAGACUAUAUAGAAAUAAGAUGUCUAUUUAUUUACGACUUCUAUUUUUAGUUGUGUGUCACAAACUGAAUCUUUUAAUGUUCAAAAAUUCAUCCAUUCUCUACUCAAACUUAAACACAGUAAUGCAGUAAAGGGAAAUAUUUACCAGGUUUUUAUUUUUUAUUUAUUCUUUUUAGAUUAUUUGAAGUUAAUUUUUUUUUAAUAUAUUAUGUUGUUUCUAUCUGAAAAAACUCUGACCAAACAGAAGAGCCUUAUAUAUGUUCCAUAUUUACUUUACCCGUUUAUAAGCAUUUCUACCGCCAGGUCAAAAACAUACAAAAAAAAUAGACCAGUAGCCCCCAACCCCUGGGCCACGGAGCGGUACCGCGCCGUGAGAGUUGAGGCUUGUUUUUAUCCUUAACUCGGUGUCCCUGGGUCUUUUCCUCUGUGUUAUGAAUAAAUCUUCUUUGUUUUGGUACCGGUACUGGUUUUAUUUUGUUGUAUUUAUUCACGACACCUUAAAGGCCGGUCCAUGACAAUAUUGUCGGACAUAAACCGGUCCGUGGUGCAAAAAAGGUUGGGGACCACUGAAAUAGAUAUAUAAGCCAUUAUAUAUAUAUAUAUAUAUAUAUAUAAUGGCUUAUAUAUAUAUAUAUAUAUAUAUAUAUAUUAUAUAUAUAUAUAUAUAUAUAUAUAUAUAUAUACAUAUAAAAUGUACCUGUACACUGCCCAAUUUACAUAACCACGUGGCGGCAAGGACCUCACAGCACAUGCAUACUCCCAGUGUAUUAUAAGAGUGUGUUGCACACAAGGUUGGCAAAAGUACAGACAUUCUGUACUUACUUAGAAGUACAAAUACUGCUGUUAAAAAUACUCCAGUAAAAGUCGAAGUACUGAUUCAACUUCUUUACUCGGGUAAAAGUAAAAAAAAGUACAGGCUCUGAAAUGUAAAGCAAAAGUAAUAUAUUAAAAGCUCUUUGGAGGAUGUUUCUAUUUUGGUGCAAAGCUAACUGAACCUUGUGCUAUAAUAACAUAAUGAUAAAAUAAUAUCACUAGAUGGGAAUAAAAACUUUUGUCACGGCGGUGAACACCAGUAUGUUUGUGGGGCAGACCCAAAAGCAGACACAGGAGAAAUGAACUGAUGAUCAAACAAAAAGCGAGCCUUUAUUACAGCUGAUACAAAAAACAAAAAAC